UAAUAAGUGUUUUAUGGCACUUUUUUAAAUCCAUAUCCACCUUGUGUGCAAUGUCAGUCGAUCUUCUUCAUGGAGAUUGACCCAAACAUCAACCUUUAUCUUUUAACACUUUGUCUGAAAAAAUAUUAUGAAUAAAACAAUUCAAAAAUA
rnacentral:misc_RNA from 1 species